rnacentral:rRNA from 8 species
GAGACCUCAGGUCAGGCGGGACUACCCGCUGAGUUUAAGCA